rnacentral:rRNA from 1 species
GAUUUCUGAUACGGUAUGUCUAGCCCGCCACGGUUACGUGUGUGAGUGCUGGAAUGUUACCGAUCAUCCGUUCUAGAUCACUCUCCUACUCUUCAUUGAGCCGGGAAUCGGUGCUAUCUAGAUCUUUUACUUUGAAAAAAUUAGAGUGUUUCAAGCAGGCUUUAUGCUAUGAAUACAUUAGCAUGGAAUAAUAAUUUAGGACUUCGGUUCUAUUUUGUUGGUUUCUAGGACUGAAGUAAUGAUUGAUAGGGAUAGUUGGGGGUGCUAGUAUUCAGCGGCCAGAGGUGAAAUUCUCGGAUUCGCUGAAGACUAACUUAUGCGAAAGCAUU